GGGGCGCGCAAGAGACUUACCUCCACUUGGUGCACCCUGGGCAACGUAUAAUCAUACGGCAAAGAAGUCUAU
rnacentral:ribozyme from 1 species